rnacentral:tRNA from 1 species
GCAAAUAUAGUUUAACAAAAACAUUAGAUUGUGAAUCUAGAUUUAGGAUUUAAAUCUCCUUGUAUGCC